CUACGGGUGGCAGCAGUGAGGAAUAUUGCACAAUGGAGGAAACUCUGAUGCAGCAACGCCGCGUGGAGGAUGACGCAUUUCGGUGUGUAAACUCCUUUUAUAUGUCAAGAAAAUGACGGUAGCAUAUGAAUAAGCUCCGGCUAACUCCGUGCCAGCAGCCGCGGUAAUACGGAGGGUGCAAGCGUUACUCGGAAUCACUGGGCGUAAAGGACGCGUAGGCGGGUUGGAAAGUCAGGUGUGAAAUCCUACAGCUUAACUGUAGAACUGCACUUGAAACUUCUAAUCUAGAGUAUGGGAGGGGGAGAUGGAAUUAGUGGUGUAGGGGUAAAAUCCGUAGAUAUCACUAGGAAUACCUAAAGCGAAGGCGAUCUCCUGGAACAUUACUGACGCUAAGGCGUGAAAGCGUGGGGAGCAAACAGGAUUAGAUACCCGUGUAGUC
rnacentral:rRNA from 1 species